GGGUGACGGAUCGCAUCCUCGCUCUGGAUCAGCCCCUCCCAGUGACGCUGCCUGUGCCCUUACCUGUCCCUGCAGCGCCACCUCAGGGUCGUCAGGAAUACAGCGGGUUCUUGUAGCACCGCGGAAGAGGGUAUAGAAAAUGGACAACGUGUGAUUCGAUGGAAUAGAAUAUCUUUAAAAAAAUCCGGCUGCUAAACUAUGCUACUUAAUCCUGGUACAUCAGUAAAACUUGGCCAGGCUCCUGGAUGGAUCCUGGAUGAGAGCUGGUCACUGGAAAGACCAACCCAAGAUUAGAAGCUUGGAAUUUUCAGCCGUAUCUCCUACCCCUGAGGUGGGAAAGGGACUAGAAAAUGGAGUUAAUAAUUGAUCAUGAACUGUGGGAUCUGAUGCAAUUUUCAGAAAGACAGCGAGAGAGGGAACACAAGCAGGCCUCCUG